rnacentral:lncRNA from 1 species
GUCAUUUUGAUGUUUUACAAGCUACAUGCCAGCUUAAGAAUUCUCAAAAGAAUUCUUCUUGUUCUCAGUGGUUUUGUAUUGGUUUGUUGGGUAUGCAUAAAUUAUCAAUCCAUGGUAAAAGCUGGAUUUUAUAGGCCAUUGUUGUACAUUUUAUUCUCUAUAUCUGCUUAAAUGAAGAUUAAGUAUCUAAGAAAAUAUUGAUCAUAUUUUUCAUGAUCUUCUUGAAAGUUGGCAGAAAAUCUAAUACUCUGGGUCUGAGGUGAAAACUGCAGAAAAUGUGUGUGCUUGAACUUAUUAAUUAUUAACUACCAUAGAUACUUCUAAAGCAAACAACAUAGUGAAAAGCAAGCUAUGGAUAAGUUGAAGAUAAAUAAUAAAAAUGUGGCACAAAAACUAUACUUUCUGACUUCUAACAGAAAAGAUCCAGAAAAAAAAAGGUUGGAUGUCAGGGGGCAGUUCUUUACCAAGAGAGUGGUGAGGUGCUAGAACAGGCUUCCCAGAGAGGUUGUGGAUGCCCCAUCCUUGGGGGUGCUAAAGGCCAGUUUGGAUGGGGCCGUGGGCAGCCUGGUCUAAUAUUAAAUGUAGAGGCUGGUGGCCCUGUCUGUGGCACGGGGUUGGAGCUUGAUGGUCCUUGAGAUCCCUUCCAACCCAUGCCAUUCUAUGAUUCUAUAAUUUUAUGAUUCUAUGAUUCUAUAAUUCUGCGAUUCUAUGUAUAUCCCAGUUCAGUACUAAUUUUUGCAUGACUUAUGGUCACAAAGUUGUCUUUGAAAUAUAUGAUUAAAUGACUUCUAAUUCUGUGACUGCAUUCAUUUUCUAAGUACAAUAUAGUUAACUGUUAAUAAAAUUUCUUCUCAUUUGUUUGAAGUUUAGAGUGUAAAAAUUUUCUGAAUUGUUGCACAUAUAACUUCUAUAGCAUAUUGAUAAAUUAUUGUAUCAUGUUGAUCUUUUGUCAUGGUUUUAUGACAUCUUUAAAUACAUUACACUGUAAAAAUAACUGUAUUUCUUCUGUGUGCAAAAAGAAUGCCAGAAACAUCUUUUUAGAAAGCCUUUUUUUUUUUUUUUUUUAAUAUUUAUCUCUUGUUUACGGUAGUGGUCACAUAUUCAGAAUCUGGAGUCUGCAGUUAAGUCUCAUAAUCUGCAUACUGCUGCAGCUCCAGAGUUCAGCAACCCAGCUCAGCCCAUGGCUUGAGAAGUUUCUCUUUACAUUGUGUUCUUGUCCAUGUUGGAUUUUAAAUGUCGGUG